GAGCGGCGGACGGGUGAGUAACGCGUAGGAAUGUACCCCAAAGUGAGGGAUAAGCCAAAGAAAUUUGGUCUAAUACCGCAUAUGGUCUUCGGAUUAAAGCCUUCGGGCGCUUUGGGAACAGCCUGCGUUGGAUUAGCUAGUUGGUAAGGUAAAAGCUUACCAAGGCGAUGAUCCAUAACUGGUUUGAGAGGAUGACCAGUCACACUGGAACUGAGACACGGUCCAGACUCCUACGGGAGGCAGCAGUAGGGAAUUUUCCACAAUGGACGAAAGUCUGAUGGAGCAACGCCGCGUGCAGGAUGAAGGUUUUCGGAUCGUAAACUGCUUUUCUGUCUGACGAAUAUGACGGUAAGACAGGAAUAAGGAUCGGCUAACUCCGUGCCAGCAGCCGCGGUCAUACGGAGGAUCCAAGCGUUAUUCGGAGUAACUGGGCGUAAAGAGUUGCGUAGGCGGUUUAUUAAGUGAGGUGUGAAACCCAAGGGCUCAACCCUUGAACUGCAUUUCAAACUGGUAGACUUGAGUAUGUGAGAGGAAGCUGGAAUUCCAGGUGUAGGAGUGAAAUCCGUAGAUAUCUGGAGGAACACCAAUGGCGAAGGCAGGCUUCUGGCACAUCACUGACGCUGAGGCACGAAAGCGUGGGGAGCGAACGGGAUUAGAUACCCCGGUAGUCCACGCCGUAAACGAUGGAUACUAGCUGUUUGGGGUAUCGACCCCCUGAGUAGCGAAGCUAACGCGCUAAGUAUCCCGCCUGGGGAGUACGGUCGCAAGAUUAAAACUCAAAUGAAUUGACGGGGACCCGCACAAGCGGUGGAGCGUGUUGUUUAAUUGGAUGAUAAGCCUAGAACCUUACCCAGACUUGACAUCCUUGGAAUUUUUACGAAAGUAAAAAGUGCCUUUGGAACCAAGUGACAGGUGUUGCAUGGCCGUCGUCAGCUCGUGUCGUGAGAUGUUUGGUUAAGUCCAUCAACGAGCGCAACCCUUAUGAUUAGUUGGAUUUUUCUAGUCAGACUGCCUCGGUAACGGGGAGGAAGGAGGGGAUGAUGUCAGGUCCGUAUUACCCUUACGUCUGGGGCUACAAACGCGCUACAAUGGCAGGUACAAUGGGCAGCGAAGUCGCGAGAUGGAGCAAAUCCCACCAAAGCCUGUCCCAGUUCGGAUAGGAGGCUGAAACUCGCCUCCUUGAAGUCGGAAUCGCUAGUAACCGUAGGUCAGCACACUACGGUGAAUACGUUCCCGGGUCUUGUACACACCGCCCGUCAUACCAUGGAAGUCGCCAACGCCCGAAGUACGAAUUUAUUCGUCCUAAGGUGGGGGAGAUGACUGGGGUAAAGUCGUAACAAGCUA
rnacentral:rRNA from 1 species